rnacentral:rRNA from 1 species
UACGAAGGGUGCAAGCGUUACUCGGAAUUACUGGGCGUAAAGCGUGCGUAGGUGGUUCGUUAAGUCUGAUGUGAAAGCCCUGGGCUCAACCUGGGAAUGGCAUUGGAAACUGGCGACCUAGAGUGCGGUAGAGGGUAGUGGAAUUCCCGGUGUAGCAGUGAAAUGCGUAGAGAUCGGGAGGAACAUCUGUGGCGAAGGCGGCCUUCUGGACCAAUACUGACGCUCAUGCACGAAAGCGUGGGGAGCAAACAGG